rnacentral:rRNA from 1 species
CCUUUAAAAANUUAAGCCAGCCAGGUUUAAUUUUUAAAAAUNNNAAACGCUNNNGUUUUAGGUCAAGGGGGUUCCAGGAAACGCGCCAGGGUUCAUUCCACCGGUUAAAAGGUAUAGGGGGGGUAACCUUUAAAGGGUAUUNUUGCGGAAAUUUGGGAGUUAAUCCANNCAAAAAGGAUAUAAAAAUCUGGUGGACNAAUGCCGGUUAUUGGAUUAAAACCAAUGGNUUUGGCCCUAUAAGGUUAACCUUGGUUAAGNGGUUCCCANCCGAAUUAUUUUUGGAGGGAANCCGGUAUUGGAUUUUCCCCAUUCAAUUUAUUAACCGGUUUUGGAAGGGUUUUGGGGUUCCGGGGAAAGGGGAAAUUAGGGUUGUUUUCCGGGGGAAAUCCCUUAAAAAGGGUUUUCCCUUCCAAGGAAGGCGCCGGGGGGGAAAAUUACCCCUUUCCAGUGGGGGGGGGUGGGGGGUGGAAAGGCCAAGUUCCUUUUUUUUUGGGAGGGACCCUGGGAAGGGUUUAAUUUUAAAUCCUUUAAAGAUUUCCAAGGGGGGGGCAAUUUGGGGCCCGCCAGCCCGGGUAAUUCCGGUUUCCAAAUUCCAUGAAAUUGUUGUGCGGGUUAAAAAUUUGGUAGUUCCAAGGUUCGGGAUGAGGAGGGUUUAAUUUAUUGUUAAUACUAUUUCUACCGUUAAGAGUUUAUAUGGUUAAUACCCAUAUAACUCAGUUACUUUGAGUAAAUCAGAGUGCUUAGAACAAGCGUAUUGCUUGAAUGGUUGUGCAUGGAAUAACAAUACAAUGCAUUGAUAUUUGUUUUGUUGGUUUUAAUGUCAAUGAAUGAUUAAAAGGAACAAAUCGGGGGCAAAAGUAUCAUAAGGCGAGAGGUNAAAUUUCGUGGACCCUGGGCAAGGG